AUUGAACGCUGGCGGAAUGCUUUACACAUGCAAGUCGAACGGCAGCACGGACUUCGGUCUGGUGGCGAGUGGCGAACGGGUGAGUAAUGUAUCGGAACGUGCCCAGUCGUGGGGGAUAACGUAGUGAAAAUUACGCUAAUACCGCAUACGAUCUAUGGAUGAAAGCGGGGGAUCGGAAGACCACGCGCGAUUGGAGCGGCCGAUAUCAGAUUAGGUAGUUGGUGGGGUAAAUGCCCACCAAGCAAACGAUCUGUAGCUGGUCUGAGAGGACGACCAGCCACACUGGAACUGAGACACGGUCCAGACUCCUACGGGAGGCAGCAGUGGGGAAUUUUGGACAAUGGGCGAAAGCCUGAUCCAGCCAUUCCGCGUGCAGGAUGAAGGCCCUCGGGUUGUAAACUGCUUUUGUACAGAACGAAAAGGUUUCUACUAAUACUAGGAGCUCAUGACGGUACUGUAAGAAUAAGCACCGGCUAACUACGUGCCAGCCGCCGCCGUAA
rnacentral:rRNA from 1 species